AGAUGCAAGUGCCGGAGCGGACGUCUCUCCUUGCCGGUCAAGUGUGUGCGCGGAUGUCGACUGCCAGAAGGAAGUUGUCUGCUCACCCAAAGGCGCCAAAUGGUUUUGCCGCUGCGCAGGACUGGCGGGUUCUCCGUGUCACGCAAAGACCUGCGACCUCAAUCCUUGCCUGGGUGACGCGAUUUGUUUGACGGGCCUCAAGGGCACUGUGGAGCAAUUUGUAUGCCUCUGCCCCUAUGGAAGAAUCGGCACACGCUGCGAGAUGAAUGUGUCCAUUUCGGAGAUGUACUUCAAGGGCGACAUCCGAUCGCAUUCUUCGUACGUCGAACUGUCGGUUCCCAUUGACACCUCGGAUAGCAUCGAGUUUCGGUUAAAGUUCAACACGCACUAUCCGCUGCAGACUGCUCUUCUGGCUUUCAUGGGACAAGAAGAUGGGCAAGACCCAAUGUCGGAUUUUAUGGCUGUUCUCUUGUUCGGCGGACGAAUUUGGCUCUACUUCGAUCUUGGUUCGGACGCUACGGCUGGCUGGAGACGGACGGCCAGGUCAAGGCGGUGGGCCUCUCCAAGGGACCCCUCAACUCCCUGAACGUGGCACCGUCCCUCUUCGUGGGCGGACACCCCAGCGUCCGGUUCGAGGGGCUCCCAAAGCUCGACGUCGACCUACGAUCAGGGUUCGUAGGUUGGGUGCGUGAAGAGCGUUGAAGUUCGAGGCUGUUCACCGGAAACGUUUCGGCCACUGGAAGGAGUCAUGAGGGGUCGGAACGUGGACCAGUGCAAGACGGCCGGCUGUGGAACCGUCCCGUGCAAAAAUGCUGGCAGCU